UACGUAGGGGGCAAGCGUUGUCCGGAAUUAUUGGGCGUAAAGAGCUCGUAGGCGGCCUGUUGCGUCCGCUGUGAAAUCCCGGGGCUCAACCCCGGGCGUGCAGUGGAUACGGGCUGGCUGGAGGCAGGCAGGGGAGAACGGAAUUCCUGGUGUAGCGGUGAAAUGCGCAGAUAUCAGGAGGAACACCGGUGGCGAAGGCGGGUCUCUGGGCAGUAACUGACGCUGAGGAGCGAAAGCGUGGGGAGCGAACAGG
rnacentral:rRNA from 1 species